rnacentral:rRNA from 1 species
UACGUAGGGUGCGAGCGUUACUCGGAAUUACUGGGCGUAAAGCGUGCGCAGGCGGUUUUGUAAGCCAGAUGUGAAAUCCCCGGGCUUAACCUGGGAAUGGCAUUUGGGACUGCAAGGCUCGAGUGCGGAAGAGGAGACUGGAAUUCCUGGUGUAGCAGUGAAAUGCGUAGAUAUCAGGAGGAACACCGAUGGCGAAGGCAGGUCCCUGGGCUGACACUGACGCUCAUGCACGAAAGCGUGGGGAGCAAACAGG